rnacentral:tRNA from 1 species
AGGGGCGUAGCUCAGUUGGUUAGAGCGUCGGUCUCCAAAACCGAAGGCCGUGGGUUCGAAUCCCCCCGCCCCUGCCA